GGCGGCGCGGCCGGUUCCGGGUUCCGCGCGGGGCGGGGGGUAAGCGGGCUGCUGGCGCGGGCGGGACGCGGGGGAGGCCGGCGGCGCGGCCCGCAGCAGCGUGGCGGGGGCGCCGAGGCCCGGGCAGCUGCGGGAGAAGCGGCGGCCCCAGCCCCCGCCUUUGCGGCCAGAGUCUCACCCGACGUUUCCGGGGCUCGUCAGAUGUGAAUCCGAUGGAGCGGCCCGGGGAAGGAGAGCAGCUGCCGCAGCAGCAGCCGUGGGGGAGGCUCCUCCGCCUGGGCGCCGAGGAGGGCGAGCCGCACGUCCUCCUGAGAAAGCGGGAGUGGACCAUCGGGCGGAGAAAAGGUUGUGACCUUUCAUUCCCUGGCAAUAAACUGGUCUCUGGAGAUCACUGUAAAAUUGUAGUGGAUGAAAAAUCUGGUCAGGUGUCGCUGGAAGAUACCAGCACUAAUGGAACAGUAAUUAACAAGCUGAAGGUUGUUAAGAAGCAGACCUGCCCCUUACAGACUGGAGAUGUCAUCUACUUGGUGUAUAGGAAGAAUGAGCCAGAACACAAUGUGGCAUACCUCUACGAAUCCCUAAGUGAGAAGCAAGGCUUGACAAGGGACUCCUCUGAAGCGAAUAAAGAAAAUGUGUUCCAUGUGACCAAAGAUACCUCAGGUGCAGGGCAAGGCGAUGGUCCCCAGGUCCUACCGUCAUCGCCCGCCACUCAGGGGUGCUUUGAGGAACCACAGCCAUCAACGUCGACGUCAGACCUCUUCCCCACGGCCUCUACCUCUUCCGUGGAGCCCACUUCUGCAGGGCGAGGACCGCCCUCUAGCUCCGGCUCCAGAGGUGCAGGUGCCUCCCCAAAAGGGUGUGGUCUAUCUGUGACCAGUGGUGACAUUGCCAGCUUCCCCUCGGCCCUCCCAGAUAGGGAGGGAGCCCCCUUUCCUCUGUCAGAAUCCCAGGAUCAGGAAGAUCUGGAGCCCGUCAAGAAGAGAAUAAAAGCAGAUGGGGAGCCCCACCUGAAGCUGCCCAUGUUGGUGGCAGACCAGUGCCGGGAUGCCCAGGCCAGCCUGGACGUCAGGGCUGCAGCCACGAAGCCAGAUAAGAUGGAGGAGACACUCACGUGCAUCAUCUGCCAGGACCUACUGCACGAUUGUGUGAGCCUGCAGCCCUGCAUGCACACCUUCUGUGCCGCCUGCUACUCAGGCUGGAUGGAGCGUUCCACCCUGUGCCCCACCUGCCGCUGUCCAGUGGAGCGGAUCUGUAAAAACCACAUCCUCAACAACCUGGUGGAGGCGUACCUGCUGCAGCACCCAGACAAGGGCCGCAGUGAGGAGGACGUGCGCAGCAUGGCUGCGCGGAACAAGAUCACUCAGGACAUGCUGCAGCCCAAGGUCAGACGGGCCUUCUCUGACGAGGAGGGGAGUUCUGAGGACCUACUGGAGUUGUCAGAUGUGGACAGUGAAGCCUCGGACGUUAGCCAGCCCUACAUUGUGUGCCGGCAGUGCCCUGAGUACCGAAGGCAGGCCGGGCAGCCUCUUCCCUGCCCUGGUCCUGGCAGUGAACCGGGGGCACCACAGGCCCCCUCGGAGGCACCAUCAACAUCGACCAGCGUCACAACAGCCCAGGACUACGUGUGCGCCCUGCAGGGAAGCCACGCCAUCUGCACCUGCUGCUUCCAGCCUAUGCCGGACCGGAGGGCGGAACGCGAGCGGGACCCCCGAAUCGCCCCCCAGCAGUGUGCCGUUUGCCUGCAGCCCUUUUGCCACCUGUACUGGGGCUGUGCCCGGACCGGCUGCCUCGGCUGCCUGGCCCCAUUCUGCGAACUCAAUCUGGGUGACCGGUGUCUGGAUGGGGUGCUGAGCAACAACAACUAUGAGUCGGAUGUCCUGAAGAAUUACCUGGCCACCAGGGGCCUGACGUGGAGAAACAUGUUGACGGAGAGCCUGGUGGCCCUGCAGAGGGGUGUGUUCUUGCUGUCUGAUUACAGAGUCACUGGGAACACCGUGCUGUGCUACUGCUGUGGCCUGCGGAGCUUCCGUGAGCUGACCUACCAGUACCGGCAGAACAUUCCCGCUUCCGAGCUGCCAGUGGCUGUGACGUCCCGUCCUGAUUGCUACUGGGGCCGCAACUGCCGCACUCAGGUGAAGGCCCACCACGCAAUGUGAGUGCGGCGGGGCCGGGGGCUGGGACGCAGGCUGGAGGAGUCCCCCGCAGACAGGCAAACCUGCACUUUCCUAACAGGAAAUUCAAUCACAUCUGUGAACAGACGAGGUUCAAGAACUAAACUAAAGUGGGACACCGUGACGGCUUGGGAGUGUUGGAGGUCAAAGACACGUGUUUCAGAAAAUACUGAAUACAAACAUUUUUAGGGCAUUUUACGGUGCUGGGGCUCCUUGUGUGCGGCACUCUGAUAGGACUUUUCUCUUGUGGAGAGACCCUCUUGGUGAGGAUCCCACAAACUAGGGGUGCCCAGAGCCCUCCCGCCACAAGAACAGCCCCCAGCCGACCCUUCCCGUUGAGAUGGAGAUGCACAUUUGCUCUGUACCUUUCCCACAGCCAUGGUCAGAGCAGCGUCUCUCUUCCAGAAAAGCGUCAUGGUAGAAAAAGGAGUUUGUUGGAAGCGUCAUGUGGUUUGAGGAAAGGCAGCACAAGUUUACAGCCCGUGGGUCGCACAGCGUCCUGGGUGGGCGCCAGAGCGGCUGCUGUGGGUAUUUUCAUAGAUUCGGUGCUUAUCUUCUAAUAAGACCUAAAUAUCUCAAACUGUAGCACAAAUGAUAUCAUUUAUAACUUACAAAUUGACUAAAAUUGGGGGUGAUGUGAUAUUUGAAAGAAUAAGCAUAUGUUUCUGCUACUCCGGACCCCAGAGCCUCUGUGGAGCUCAGCCGCCCGCUGCUCCUCAGCACAACUGCAGCUCCGCCAGGCUGUCCUGCCAGGGUUCGGGGCCCAGGGCCGGGGUGCAGUUGACCCUGGUAGUGCCCCCAGCCAACCCAGAGUGUAAGGGGCCUUGGCCUCCCUGCCCCUUCCUCCUGCGUUGGGUUUGCCAUGUCAUCUGGAAUAAUACUUGAAAUUUUGUUCUUUGUUUAAAAAAAAAAAAAAAAAAGUUUUUUUUUUGUUUUUUUUUUGUCAUCUGUUGAAAUCACCAGUUAGGUUUGUCGACAAAAUUGUAAAUUUUUUGCUUCUUCUCAGGAAUACAAUUUUCAGCUUUGUCUUGCUCUUGAUACAGACUCUGAGAAGCAGCGCUCUGUGGAAGAAGGCCGCCUUCCCGGGUUCCAAUAAACAAGCCUUGUCUGUUUCUCUCCCCCCUGC